GCGACAACAGAGUUUGAUCCUGGCUCAGCCGAAUUCGUCGACAACAGAGUUUGAUCCUGGCUCAGAUUGAACGCUGGCGGCAGGCCUAACACAUGCAAGUCGAGCGGAUGAUGGGAGCUUGCUCCCGGAUUCAGCGGCGGACGGGUGAGUAAUGCCUAGGAAUCUGCCUGGUAGUGGGGGACAACGUUUCGAAAGGAACGCUAAUACCGCAUACGUCCUACGGGAGGAAGCAGGGGACCUUCGGGCCUUGCGCUAUCAGAUGAGCCUAGGUCGGAUUAGCUAGUUGGUGGGGUAAAGGCCUACCAAGGCGACGAUCCGUAACUGGUCUGAGAGGAUGAUCAGUCACACUGGAACUGAGACACGGUCCAGACUCCUACGGGAGGCAGCAGUGGGGAAUAUUGGACAAUGGGCGAAAGCCUGAUCCAGCCAUGCCGCGUGUGUGAAGAAGGUCUUCGGAUUGUANAGCACUUUAAGUUGGGAGGAAGGGCAGUAAGUUAAUACCUUGCUGUNUUGACGUUACCAACAGAAUAAGCACCGGCUAACUUCGUGCCAGCAGCCGCGGUAAUACGAAGG
rnacentral:rRNA from 1 species